rnacentral:rRNA from 1 species
UACGUAGGGGGCGAGCGUUGUCCGGAUUUAUUGGGCGUAAAGAGCGUGUAGGCGGCCAGGUAGGUCUGCUGUGAAAACUCGAGGCUCAACCUCGAGACGUCGGCGGAAACCAUCUGGCUAGAGUCCGGAAGAGGAGAGUGGAAUUCCUGGUGUAGCGGUGAAAUGCGCAGAUAUCAGGAAGAACACCCGUGGCGAAGGCGGCUCUCUGGGACGGUACUGACACUGAGGCGCGAAAGCGUGGGGAGCGAACAGG